rnacentral:rRNA from 1 species
GGUGAAGGAUGAGCCCGCGGCCUAUCAGCUUGUUGGUGAGGUAGUGGCUCACCAAGGCGACGACGGGUAGCCGGCCUGAGAGGGCGACCGGCCACACUGGGACUGAGACACGGCCCAGACUCCUACGGGAGGCAGCAGUGGGGAAUAUUGCACAAUGGGCGAAAGCCUGAUGCAGCGACGCCGCGUGAGGGAUGACGGCCUUCGGGUUGUAAACCUCUUUCAGCAGGGAAGAAGCGAAAGUGACGGUACCUGCAGAAGAAGCGCCGGCUAACUACGUGCCAGCAGCCGCGGUAAUACGUAGGGCGCAAGCGUUGUCCGGAAUUAUUGGGCGUAAAGAGCUCGUAGGCGGCUUGUCACGUCGGGUGUGAAAGCCCGGGGCUUAACCCCGGGUCUGCAUUCGAUACGGGCUAGCUAGAGUGUGGUAGGGGAGAUCGGAAUUCCUGGUGUAGCGGUGAAAUGCGCAGAUAUCAGGAGGAACACCGGUGGCGAAGGCGGAUCUCUGGGCCAUUACUGACGCUGAGGAGCGAAAGCGUGGGGAGCGAACAGGAUUAGAUACCCUGGUAGUCCACGCCGUAAACGGUGGGAACUAGGUGUUGGCGACAUUCCACGUCGUCGGUGCCGCAGC